CCAGACUCCUACGGGAGGCAGCAGUGGGGGAUAUUGCACAAUGGGGGAAACCCUGAUGCAGCGACGCCGCGUGGGUGAAGAAGCGCCCCGGCGCGUAAAGCCCUGUCAGCAGGGAAGAAAAUGACGGUACCUGAAGAAGAAGCCCCGGCUAACUACGUGCCAGCAGCCGCGGUAAUACGUAGGGGGCAAGCGUUAUCCGGAUUUACUGGGUGUAAAGGGGGCGCAGACGGCGAUGCAAGCCAGGAGUGAAAGCCCGGGGCCCAACCCCGGGACUGCUCUUGGAACUGCGUGGCUGGAGUGCAGGAGGGGCAGGCGGAAUUCCUGGUGUAGCGGUGAAAUGCGUAGAUAUCAGGAGGAACACCGGUGGCGAAGGCGGCCUGCUGGACUGCAACUGACGUUGAGGCCCGAAAGCGUGGGGAGCAAACAGGAUUAGAUACCCUUGUAC
rnacentral:rRNA from 1 species